rnacentral:tRNA from 1 species
GGCUCCAUAGUGCAGGGGUUAGCACAUCUGCUUUAGAUGCAGAGGGUCCUGGGUUCGCGCCCAGGUAGAGACA